UUAAUGACAUAAUAUAUUAAUAUUUGACCGUCGCCGGAGAUCGGGACAAAAUACGAAAUUCGGCAAUUUCAUUUCACCAAUUUCAGGUAACGGAGAUUGUGUUUGCGCAGUUCCGUUGCUUUUUGGGUGUUUUAACAUUUGACGGUGCAUCGAUUUUCAAGAACCGUAGACACCAAGGCGCUUCCGGCCAAGAAUCGGGAUAUCGAAGACAUUAAUAUUUAAUUCAGUUCUUAUAAACUUCACGACGGGUCAGCUUAUUUACUCAUUACAUGCCUCAGUUUUAAUAAUUGAUAGGUUUAACCGGAAAAUCGGUGGAGUAACUUGUACCUUUAGUGGCCUAUCUACGACCCCGCUUGAUCGUAAUUUAAAAGCAAUAUAAUUUUAUAUGCUAUAGUUGAUAAUAGUAUAAUAUAAUAUUCUAUAUUCCUAUAUCUAUGAUUCAAUGGCAUAAUCUGCUACUACUUUCAUAAAAAAAGUUAUCAAACGAGAAAAUAAUCAAUCAUUAUUAUUAAUCUUAAUUCCUUUUGAAAUUUGAAGACGACACAACCGCAUGUGUUGUCCGUGUUUUACACGUACAACAUUGCAAAAUACUUGUAAUGUCUGUUUUUUCAAUAUUUCAAUUUUCAACUUAUAUAUCUCAUAUCUCUCAUAAGAGUUAAGAUAUUGUAAAACCCGAUAGCUUUCUUACUUGUAAGUUUGAUACUUUAUAGGUAUGUUCAAUCCAAGUUAAAAAUUAACUCUACCUAAACUGUAGUCUGUUGUCUGUAACUGCUGAAAGCUGAACGUAAAUUUGCAAAAUUGUCCGAAACAGUCUUCGACGAGACGAUUUCACUCAAUUUAACCUACCCAUUCUCGAAGUUUGGUCAAAAACUCAAAACCACUAUUGUUGUUUGCUGCUUGCAACGGAUUUACCAACCAUCAAGCAAUUCCAAAGAAAUGUCAAGGCUGGGGUGUAGGCAGUGCAUUAUAUUGUGCACUUCGGUAGUCUCAAAGCUCUAACUAAAUACAAUACGGUCAAUGCAAAUUAUGUAUCUGUUUAAUUUAAAACUUGUCAGUUGUCAAUCGUUGCCCUUAAUCUCGCAAAACACAGCGGCGUUCGGCGGCCUAACCUAACCGUCAAAAGAUAUGGGCAUGCGAAUAUCAACCGUUCGAAGAGUGCAACAAAACCAGACGGUCUCUGCUGUAACCGAACGUGAGUAUGUCGUAAUAAUAUUAGAUUUCAUUAAGCGAGUAAUAACCAAUAAUGCGGGCGACCGGGACACGCCUCGAGACCAUAAUUGUAAAAACACGUCUGUUAUGUGACGCACCGAUGAACUAUUCGGCGAGAGAGACGAAGAACGUUAUUGAGAUAGACUCUGGGAGUUAGCAUAGACAUAUAAACAUAUUUAUAUAUGUCCAUGGGAGUUAGAGAAUGGAACGUCGACGGAAGGAUUGCAGAUUGACGGCGCACGAUCUUAUGUAUUGAAAACCGAUUUCCGUGACGUUCCUUCCGGUACGUGCGAAACUGCGAAUCUAUUCGAAUUGUGAUUUCCGAUGCGUACUUACCUCGACGAAACUCGGAACGGUUAAGGAAUGACCACCACCCUGAGUGUAUUAUAAUAUGAUGACUUGACAAAUCCAAAAUAAUAAUACGUGAAAUUGUCAUAUUGAUUACCUACUUCAGUUUUGUCUACACCUUGUAUUAUAUAUUUGUAUUUCGUAUACAAUAUACAGUUUAUAAAAUACAAUUAUUAUAAUUACGUAUUUGCGACGGAUGCUAUCUCUGUCCGGGUUGCAUAUAGCGCACAGACAUACACAUAUUAAUAUUAAAUAUGUCAUUGUACGAGAAAUCAUUGUCUAUAGUUGUUUGCUACUUCGUUUUAGAACAAUACGUUUUCAAACUUAGGUCUUGGCUAUUUGGUCUUCUGUCGUGUUGAUGAGAAAAUUUUAAAAUCACAGAUGAAAAAAAACAAAAAAAUAAUAUGCUUCGUUUCGUACAAAUGUUGGCAGUUUAUUAUUGUGAUAAAUCAUAAAAUAAUAAAUUAGUAUAUAAGUAUAACCAAUAACCAACUCCUAAAAAACAAUUCAACGGCUCAUUUAUUGGUGGUUUAAAUUAUUCUAUAUGGAUUGAAUCCAAUAAUAUUGUUUGUAACAAUGAGAGAGUUAAUGCAAGUGAAAUUGAGAGAAAAAAAA